AAAACAUUGCGCGCAUCCGCCCCUACUUAACGCCAGAUGCGACUAAGGUGUUGGUCCAUUCCACUGUCCUUUCUCGCCUUGACUACUGUAAUCCGCUUCUCAGUGGUCUUACAUGCUCCCAACUAGCGCCGUUACAGUCCAUAAUGAAUGCGGCGGCAAGGCUCAUCUUCCUGUCCGCCCGCACCUCCCAUGCCUCACCCUUCUGUCAAUCCCUA